rnacentral:rRNA from 1 species
UUGGAGGGCAAGUCUGGUGCCAGCAGCCGCGGUAAUUCCAGCUCCAAUAGCGUAUAUUAAAGUUGUUGCAGUUAAAAAGCUCGUAGUUGAAUUUCGGGAUCAAAUUGUCGGUCGUGCCUCGGUACGCACUGGUAUUAUUGGUUCCUACCAUCUGAAGAACCGCGAUGUCAUUAAUUUGGUGUCGUGGGGAAUCAGGACUGUUACUUUGAAAAAAUUAGAGUGUUUAAAGCAGGCUUACGCUUGAAUACAUUAGCAUGGAAUAAUGAAAUAGGACGUUUGAUUCUAUUUUGUUGGUUUCUAGGAUUGACGUAAUGAUUAAUAGGGAUAGUUGGGGGCAUUAGUAUUCAAUUGUCAGAGGUGAAAUUCUUGGAUUUAUUGAAGACUAACUACUGCGAAAGCAUUUGCCAAGGAUGUUUUCAUUAAUCAAGAACGAAAGUUAGGGGAUCGAAGACGAUCAGAUACCGUCGUAGUCUUAACCAUAAACUAUGCCGACUAGGGAUCGGAUGAUGUUAAUUUUUUAAUGACUCAUUCGGCGCCUUACGGGAAAC